rnacentral:rRNA from 1 species
UACGUAGGGGGCUAGCGUUGUCCGGAAUCAUUGGGCGUAAAGAGCGUGUAGGCGGUCCGGUAAGUCCGUUGUGAAAGUCAGGGGCUCAACCCUUGAAUGCCGGCGGAUACUGUCGGGCUAGAGUCCGGAAGGGGCAAGUGGAAUUCCCGGUGUAGCGGUGAAAUGCGCAGAUAUCGGGAGGAACACCUAUGGCGAAGGCAGCUUGCUGGGACGGUACUGACGCUGAGACGCGAAAGCGUGGGGAGCAAACAGG